rnacentral:rRNA from 1 species
GGUUAAGUUAAUAAGGGCGCACGGUGGAUGCCUUGGCACUAGAAGGCGAUGAAGGACGUGACUAACUACGAAAUUCUGCGGGGAGCUGUAAGUAAGCAUUGAUCCGCAGGUGUCCGAAUGGGGGAACCCAGUAGCUAAUGGCUACUACUGUUUGUGUGAAUACAUAGCACUUACAGGGCAAGACGUUGUGAACUGAAACAUCUAAGUAGCAACAGGAAGAGAAAGCAAACGCGAUUUCCUUAGUAGCGGCGAGCGAAACGGAAGAAGGGCAAACCAAGAGACUUGUCUCUUGGGGUUGUAGGACUGCGCAGUGGACUUAUAUUUUAUAGACGAAUUACCUGGGAAGGUAAGCUAAAGAGAGUAAUAGCCUCGUAGUUANNNNNNNNNNNNNNNNNNNNNNNNNNNNNNNNNNNNNNNNNNNNNNNNNNNNNNNNNNNNNNNNNNNNNNNNNNNNNNNNNNNNNNNNNNNNNNNNNUGAAAUAGAAUAUAUACCUAGCAGUAUCCUGAGUACGGCGAGACACGAGAAAUCUCGUCGGAAUCUGGGAGGACCAUCUCCCAACCCUAAAUACUCUCUAGUGACCGAUAGUGAACAAGUACCGUGAGGGAAAGGUGAAAAGAACCCCGGGAGGGGAGUGAAAUAGCACCUGAAACCGUGUGCCUACAACAAGUUCGAGCCCGUUAAUGGGUGAGAGCGUGCCUUUUGUAGAAUGAACCGGCGAGUUAAGUUAUGAUGCGAGGUUAAGAUGAAGAGUCGGAGCCGUAGCGAAAGCGAGUCUUAAUAGGGCGCCAUAGUAUCAUGAUUUAGACCCGAAACCAUGUGACCUAUCCAUGAGCAGGGUGAAGGUGCGGUAAGACGCACUGGAGGCCCGAACCAGGACACGUUGAAAAGUGUUUGGAUGACUUGUGGAUAGCGGAGAAAUUCCAAACGAACUUGGAGAUAGCUGGUUCUCUCCGAAAUAGCUUUAGGGCUAGCGUCCAACUUGAAUGUAAUGGAGGUAGAGCACUGUUUGGGUGAGGGGUCCAUCCCGGAUUACCAAUCUCAGAUAAACUCCGAAUGCCAUUUACAUGCGUUGGGCAGUCAGACUGUGAGUGCUAAGAUCCAUAGUCGAAAGGGAAACAGCCCAGACCAUCAGCUAAGGUCCCAAAAUAUAUGUUAAGUGGAAAAGGAUGUGGGAUUGCACAGACAACUAGGAUGUUAGCUCAGAAGCAGCUAUCAUUUAAAGAGUGCGUAAUAGCUCACUAGUCGAGUGAUCCUGCGCCGAAAAUGUACCGGGGCUAAAACAUAUUACCGAAGCUAUGGAAUUAAAUUUAUUUAAUUGGUAGGAGAGCGUUCUUAUCAGCGAUGAAGGUAUACCGUGAGGAGUGCUGGAGCGAUAAGAAGUGAGAAUGCCGGUAUGAGUAGCGCAAGACAGGUGAGAAUCCUGUCCACCGUAAGACUAAGGUUUCCAGGGGAAGGCUCGUCCGCCCUGGGUUAGUCGGGACCUAAGGAGAGGCCGAAUGGCGUAUCCGAUGGACAACAGGUUGAUAUUCCUGUACUAGGUUAUAUAGUGAUUGGAGGGACGCAGUAGGCUAAGGUAAGCCAGUUAAUGGAUUCUGGUCUAAGCAGUGAGGUUUGGUAUGAGUCAAAUGCUUGUACCUCUAAGAUUGAGCUGUGAUGGGGAAGCACUUUCGAGUGCGAAGUACCUGAUGUCACACUGCCAAGAAAAUCUUCUAGCGUUUAAUUAUAACCUACCCGUACCGCAAACCGACACAGGUAGUCGAGGCGAGUAGCCUCAGGUGAGCGAGAGAACUCUCGUUAAGGAACUCGGCAAAAUGACCCCGUAACUUCGGGAGAAGGGGUGCUCUACAUUUGUAGAGCCGCAGUGAAUAGGCCCAAGCGACUGUUUAUCAAAAACACAGCUCUCUGCUAAAUCGUAAGAUGAUGUAUAGGGGGUGACGCCUGCCCGGUGCUGGAAGGUUAAGAGGAGUGCUUAGCGUAAGCGAAGGUAUGAAUUGAAGCCCCAGUAAACGGCGGCCGUAACUAUAACGGUCCUAAGGUAGCGAAAUUCCUUGUCGGGUAAGUUCCGACCCGCACGAAAGGCGUAACGAUUUGGGCACUGUCUCAACGAGAGACUCGGUGAAAUUUUAGUACCUGUGAAGAUGCAGGUUACCCGCGACAGGACGGAAAGACCCCAUGGAGCUUUACUGCAAGUUGAUAUUGAGUAUCUGUUGCACAUGUACAGGAUAGGUAGGAGCCAUUGAUCUGAGGACGCUAGUUUUCAGUGAGGCGAUGUUGGGAUACUACCCUUGUGUCAUGGCUACUCUAACCCGCAUGCCUAAUCGGCAUGGGAGACAGUGUCUGCUGGGCAGUUUGACUGGGGCGGUCGCCUCCUAAAGAGUAACGGAGGCGCUCAAAGUUUCCCUCAGCAUGGUUGGAAAUCAUGCGUAGAGUGUAAAGGUAUAAGGGAGAUUGACUGCGAGACUUACAAGUCGAGCAGGUACGAAAGUAGGACUUAGUGAUCCGGUGGUACCGCAUGGAAGGGCCAUCGCUCAACGGAUAAAAGCUACCCUGGGGAUAACAGGCUUAUCUCCCCCAAGAGUUCACAUCGACGGGGAGGUUUGGCACCUCGAUGUCGGCUCGUCGCAUCCUGGGGCUGUAGUCGGUCCCAAGGGUUGGGCUGUUCGCCCAUUAAAGCGGCACGCGAGCUGGGUUCAGAACGUCGUGAGACAGUUCGGUCCCUAUCCGUCGCGGGCGUAGGAAAUUUGAGAGGAUCUGCCCUUAGUACGAGAGGACCGGGGUGGACUUACCGCUGGUGUACCAGUUGUCUUGCCAAAGGCAUCGCUGGGUAGCUAUGUAGGGAACGGAUAAACGCUGAAAGCAUCUAAGUGUGAAACCAACCUCAAGAUGAGAUUUCCCAUUCUUUAUGAAUUAAGAGCCCUGAGAGAUGAUCAGGUAGAUAGGCUAGAAGUGGAAGGACAGUGAUGUUUGGAGCGGACUAGUACUAAUAGCUCGAGGACUUUACCUA